rnacentral:rRNA from 1 species
AUUGAACGCUGGCGGCGUGCCUAACACAUGCAAGUCGAGCGGCAGCGCGGGGCAACCUGGCGGCGAGCGGCGGACGGGUGAGUAACGCUUGAGAAUCUGCCUAUUAGUGGGGGACAACCCGGGGAAACUCGGGCUAAUACCGCAUACGCACUACGGUGGAAAGCAGGGGACCGCAAUGCCUGGCGCUAAUAGAUGAACUCAAGUCGGAUUAGCUAGUUGGUAGGGUAACGGCCUACCAAGGCGACAAUCCGUAGCUGGUCUGAGAGGACGACCAGCCACACCGGAACUGAGACACGGUCCGGACUCCUACGGGAGGCAGCAGUGGGGAAUAUUGGACAAUGGGCGAAAGCCUGAUCCAGCGACGCCGCGUGGGUGAAGAAGGCCUGCGGGUUGUAAAGCCCUUUCGGUGGGGAAGAAAUGCUUCGAGCUACUACCUCGGGGCUUUGACGUAACCCACAGAAGAAGCACCGGCUAACUCUGUGCCAGCCGCCGCCGUAACAC